AAUAGCUUAAUACUUAUUCAGAAUCUAAUCAUUUUAGGUAUAUUUUUUGAAAAGAAAACUAAUCCUCGCACUUUGUAGUUCUCUGAAUAAUAACUAUGACUUCAUUUAAAGUUUCAAUAAUAUUAACUGUGAUAUUUUUUAUCAGCAAUUGUGUCAAAGGAGACUACUCAGGAGAUACCACACAAUUUGCAAAUUUCAAUGUCGCAAUGCAAUAUAGGAUACAAGUUAACGGUGACCAGAUAUUUAAAGACCAUGUGAGCGAAGUAUUUGAAAACUACGACAAUGAAGAU